rnacentral:rRNA from 1 species
UACGGAGGAUGCGAGCGUUAUCCGGAUUUACUGGGCGUAAAGGGCGCGUAGGCGGUUAUGCGAGUCUGCUGUGAAAUGUACCGGCUCAACCGGUGCCUUGCGGCGGAUACUGCAUAGCUGGAGUACUGGAGAGGGAAGUGGAAUUCCCGGUGUAGCGGUGAAAUGCGUAGAUAUUAGGAGGAACACCAGUGGCGAAGGCGACUUUCUGGACUAACCCUGACGCUGAGGCGCGAAAGCGUGGGGAGGCAAACAGGAUUAGAUACCCGCGUA